GAUCGACUCACUUAGGCCAUUUCACUUGCAGUGUUCUUGACGAACUGUUGACCACCUGUUGUCUUGUUUCUGUGCAAUUAUAUUUUAUCAAUUGAUUUUCUCUUUAUUUGAGUUUAACCUUAAACCAUCGAAAUGGAAACAGUUUUCCGGCGAAAUAAUCGUUUUCCGACUAGAUUAACGAAAUCACAAAGGGCUGACAUUACUUUCCCCGUAUCCCGAGUACAUCGUCAACUGCGUAAAAGAAAGUACGUUAAUCGAAUUCGUGUACACAGUGCCGUGAAUUUAGCGGUGGUACUUGAGUAUCUAGUCGCCGAAAUAUUGGAAUUAGCUGGAAAUGAAGCCAAAGAGCAAAAAAGGAAGCGAAUUGUUCCGCGCCAUAUUAUGCUUGCGAUCAGAAAAGAUGGCGAUCUAAACAAUCUUCUCAAAGAAGUGAUGAUUUCAUUUUCUGGAGUCGUGCCGAAUAUACAGGCACCAUUGUUAGUGCAGAAGAAGUAAUAUCCUUCACAGUGUGAUAUUUAUGUUACCCAUAUGGGAAUAACGAGACAUUUUUCGUAGUUUUUUUUUUAAUUAUUUUAAUUUUUUGUGUUAAAAGUGUUAUGUAAAGAAUAUUUGUUUUCUCUAAAUUUUAUUUGGCCGUAGGCGCCAAUUUUUAAAUUAUAAUUUUAAGUUGAUUCCAUCGAGAUAUUAAAUAUCUGUUCUAAGAUGA